rnacentral:rRNA from 1 species
GACGGAGGAUGCAAGUGUUAUCCGGAAUCACUGGGCGUAAAGCGUCUGUAGGUGGUUUUAAUAAGUCAACUGUUAAAUCUUGAGGCUCAACCUCAAAAUCGCAGUCGAAACUAUUAGGCUAGAGUAUAGUAGGGGUAAAGGGAAUUUCCAGUGGAGCGGUGAAAUGCGUAGAGAUUGGAAAGAACACCGAUGGCGAAGGCACUUUACUGGGCUAUUACUAACACUCAGAGACGAAAGCUAGGGUAGCAAAUGGG